GCUGGGUGUGGUGGCGUGCACCUGUAGUCCCAGCUACUUGGGAGGCUGAGGCAGGAGAAUCACUUGAACCCAGGAGGCAGAGCUUGCAGUGAGCCAAGAUCAUGCCACUGCACUCCAGCCUGGGUAACAGAGUGAGACUAAGUCUCAA
rnacentral:SRP_RNA from 1 species